UAAGGAAUAUUGGUCAAUGGACGCAAGUCUGAACCAGCCAUGCCGCGUGAAGGAUGAAGGUCCUCUGGAUUGUAAACUUCUUUUAUCUGGGACGAAAACGGGAUUUUUAUCUCAAUUGACGGUACCAGAGGAAUAAGCACCGGCCAACUCCGUGCCAGCAGCCGCGGUAAUACGGAGGGUGCGAGCGUUAUCCGGAUUUACUGGGUUUAAAGGGUGCGUAGGUGGGCUUAUAAGUCAGUGGUGAAAUCUCCGAGCUUAACUUGGAAACUGCCGUUGAUACUAUAGGUCUUGAAUUAUCUGGAGGUAAGCGGAAUAUGUCAUGUAGCGGUGAAAUGCUUAGAUAUGACAUAGAACACCAAUUGCGAAGGCAGCUUACUACAUAUAAAUUGACGCUGAGGCACGAAAGCGUGGGGAUCAAACA
rnacentral:rRNA from 1 species